UAAACAAGAACAUGAAGCCUUCUGGCUCUUGGGCUGGAAAGCAAGUCCUAACCUGGAAUACUAGAGUCCUGAGAGAGCCCUGCCUCAAAGAGCUCCCACUCUGGACUGGUGGGGAUUGGUGCUAACUUUGGAAGCAUUUGCAAUCAUGGGACAAAACUGCCUGCUCUGUUAAGAUAUCCCAGUGGCUAUGAACAGGAACCAAUGUUCCCAGAUGUGGGUCCCCGUUCCCCAGCCAGGAGGCCAGCAAAGCAGCAGAGGAGGCAAAUGCCGGAAGUCAGAUUAGACGGUCCUCCUCUCCCGCGGUCCGGCGGGAAUUUGGAAUGAAUUUGUGGAUUACUCAAAAGUCCUAACCCGGUGGUGGGGCCCCAGAGGGAGGGCGGGGGCGUGCACGUGUCUGUCAAUGCUAUACUUUAAAAGCCCACUUUGGGCAAGUUUUGAUGCUGCGCCCCGGCCAGAACCACAGGGGACGUGGAGGCGACAAAUGCUGGGCUCCCAGCGCUCCGAUCCCUCCCCGUCACUCACCCCGGAGU